rnacentral:rRNA from 1 species
UACAGAGGUCUCAAGCGUUGUUCGGAUUCAUUGGGCGUAAAGGGUGCGAGUAGGCGGCGCGGUAAGUCGGGUGUGAAAUCUCGGGGCUUAACUCCGAAACUGCAUUCGAUACUGCCGUGCUUGAGGACUGGAGAGGAGACUGGAAUUUACGGUGUAGCGGUGAAAUGCGUAGAUAUCGUAAGGAAGACCAGUGGCGAAGGCGGGUCUCUGGACAGUUCCUGACGCUGAGGCACGAAGGCCAGGGGAGCAAACGGGAUUAGAAACCCCCGGGUAGU